AAUAUGGGAUUGCCUCCACACAGCUCUCACAGACCAUUCCCCAAUACGUGAAAUGUCCAGGAUUUUUACAAGACA